rnacentral:rRNA from 1 species
AGAGUUUGAUCCUGGCUCAGGAUGAACGCUGGCGGCGUGCCUAACACAUGCAAGUCGAACGGGAAUCUUCGGAUUCUAGUGGCGGACGGGUGAGUAACGCGUAAGAAUCUAACUUCAGGACGGGGACAACAGUUGGAAACGACUGCUAAUACCCGAUAUGCCGCAAGGUGAAAUCUAAUUGGCCUGGAGAAGAGCUUGCGUCUGAUUAGCUAGUUGGUGGGGUAAGAGCCUACCAAGGCGACGAUCAGUAGCUGGUCUGAGAGGAUGAGCAGCCACACUGGGACUGAGACACGGCCCAGACUCCUACGGGAGGCAGCAGUGGGGAAUUUUCCGCAAUGGGCGAAAGCCUGACGGAGCAACGCCGCGUGAGGGAGGAAGGUCUUUGGAUUGUAAACCUCUUUUCUCAAGGAAGAAGUUCUGACGGUACUUGAGGAAUCAGCCUCGGCUAACUCCGUGCCAGCAGCCGCGGUAAUACGGGGGAGGCAAGCGUUAUCCGGAAUUAUUGGGCGUAAAGCGUCCGCAGGUGGUCAGCCAAGUCUGCCGUCAAAUCAGGUUGCUUAACGACCUAAAGGCGGUGGAAACUGGCAGACUAGAGAGCAGUAGGGGUAGCAGGAAUUCCCAGUGUAGCGGUGAAAUGCGUAGAGAUUGGGAAGAACAUCGGUGGCGAAAGCGUGCUACUGGGCUGUAUCUGACACUCAGGGACGAAAGCUAGGGGAGCGAAAGGGAUUAGAUACCCCAGUAGUC